rnacentral:rRNA from 1 species
UGCAAGUCGAACGAUGAAGCCGCUUCGGUGGUGGAUUAGUGGCGAACGGGUGAGUAACACGUGGGCAAUCUGCCCUUCACUCUGGGACAAGCCCUGGAAACGGGGUCUAAUACCGGAUAAUACUCCUGCCUGCAUGGGUGGGGGUUGAAAGCUCCGGCGGUGAAGGAUGAGCCCGCGGCCUAUCAGCUUGUUGGUGGGGUAAUGGCCUACCAAGGCGACGACGGGUAGCCGGCCUGAGAGGGCGACCGGCCACACUGGGACUGAGACACGGCCCAGACUCCUACGGGAGGCAGCAGUGGGGAAUAUUGCACAAUGGGCGAAAGCCUGAUGCAGCGACGCCGCGUGAGGGAUGACGGCCUUCGGGUUGUAAACCUCUUUCAGCAGGGAAGAAGCGCAAGUGACGGUACCUGCAGAAGAAGCGCCGGCUAACUACGUGCCAGCAGCCGCGGUAAUACGUAGGGCGCAAGCGUUGUCCGGAAUUAUUGGGCGUAAAGAGCUCGUAGGCGGCUUGUCACGUCGGAUGUGAAAGCCCGGGGCUUAACCCCGGGUCUGCAUUCGAUACGGGCUAGCUAGAGUGUGGUAGGGGAGAUCGGAAUUCCUGGUGUAGCGGUGAAAUGCGCAGAUAUCAGGAGGAACACCGGUGGCGAAGGCGGAUCUCUGGGCCAUUACUGACGCUGAGGAGCGAAAGCGUGGGGAGCGAACAGGAUUAGAUACCCUGGUAGUCCACGCCGUAAACGUUGGGAACUA